rnacentral:rRNA from 1 species
GCCGCCGCGGUAACACGUAAGUUGCGAGCGUUGUUCGGAAUUAUUGGGCGUAAAGGGCAUGUAGGCGGUUUUGCAAGCUUGAUGUGAAAUGCCGGGGCUUAACUCCGGCACUGCGUUGAGAACUGCAUGACUAGAGUAACUGAGGGGCAGCCGGAAUUCCAGGUGUAGGGGUGAAAUCUGUAGAUAUCUGGAAGAACACCAAUGGCGAAGGCAGGCUACCAGCAGAUUACUGACGCUGAGGUGCGAAGGUGCGGGGAGCAAACAGGAUUAGAUACCCC